CCUCUUGCAUCUUCUUCUCACACUGCACAAAGAAAAAACAAGGGAAAAUUCAAAACGAGAAGAAGGUAGCAGCAAUACAGAUUAUCCAAAUAGCAGGACGGUCCAACUGGUUAAUUUAAAGAUAGAGUCUGUAUCAAAAAGGACAGCUGCUCAAGGAGAGAAUAACAUGGUCAAUUAUUUCUGCAAUAUCAACUUCUGAAUGCAGAAACCAGAUGAAUAAACAUCAUAGAAAGACAGAAGCUACUGACAAGAACUGCAAAAGAAGAGCAAACCCAGAAAGAUAGGAGAAGAAAAGAUGAAGAAA